AUUUGCUUCUUCCCAGAGACUCACCCUUCUCUUGCCCUUAUUUUCACUUCAGAGCUCGGUGACACAUUUUGUCACUUGAGGAUGUAUUGUGGUAAACAUCCCAGACCGCUCGUUCGUUUUGUUAUGUUGACAGUAAACACUGGUUUCUAUUCACCAGUACAGUCAAAUUAAAUCAGAACGUCAGUGGUUGGCUUUCUUUUCUAUCGACUCUGCAACAAAAACGAAUAAAAACACAGGCAGGUGCAGAACAACUAAAGACGUGCGGAGUGACUACUGAAAAUGGGAACUGUGAGGCAUGUACUACCUGGGAAAGCUGCCAACUGCUGACAAAAGGCUUCACUGCACGGUUCUGAGAGAAGCCUUUAACUCAUUUGCUCUGAAAUGCUUCAGGAUAUAUCUGGCACUGAAUUGUUUGGCCAACUGUAGAUAAAUCUGUCAAACUUUUGGCUUUGUUACAAGACAGCAUGUAAGUAGUAACAUCUUAUUCCUUUACCCACUCCCAGUACCCAAAUCAAACAAUCAAGUGAGAUGUCUAUUGGAUGACAUAUAAUCUACAGUCUACAGUAUAUAGAGCGAGUCAGCUCUUUGACUUUACCUCAAAGCAUGGCUCAGUCUACUUGUAUGCAUAUUUCAGGUGGAUUUUAUAUCUUUAGUAGGAGCGUAUCAGCACAAUUUUGUGACUUCAUGAUUUCUUUUCCUGCCUCCCUUUCUGCUUGCUGUCUCUCCCUCUUGGCAGCAGGGCAAAAGUGGGCAGGGAGAGAGGAGGGCAUGGCCCAGAAACUGCUCUCAAGCCCCAGCCCCUGUUCAAGUGGGGUUGCUUGCUGGUACACUACUCUGCCUUUCCCUCGUCUUGCAAUCGAGAGAGAGGGAUGUGGAAAUGCAUUCUUGUCUCAUUUCUAACCCACUUUUUUUUUUUCUUUUUUUUUUUUUUUCCGCCGCCACCAUGGCCUAAUUCUCUGCGGGUGAACACUAGCCUGACCUGUACAAAAACUCACCUCCAGGUAUUUGUCAUUUUUGAUUCUGCCUUUGUUUGGGCCUUGGUAUUCGUCUUUGUACUGAAGUCUCCCUUUAUUCAUUUCUGUUGCAUUUUUACACUUCUCGUACUGACACCUUCCACACUGUACACGUGUCUGCUUCGCUUCCACCGAACACAAUGCCUAAAUCUCCACCAUUUCCGUUCGAUUGUGACACACAUCGGGAUUUUGUUUUGAAUAAUGAAGUUUUUUUUUUGGAUUAAAAGCAUUAAGAAAUAAUGACCAAAGCCUUUGUGUAUAGUUAGUGUAAUGAGCAGUCUGUUUAUGAAGCAUGGUUCGAUAAAACACAUGCCCUGAGUAAAAAGACAUUUUAGUGGCUGUGUUACUGCCUCUUAAAGUACUGUAGUAAAAAGCAUCAUUUAAGUAUAAUUUACCACAAGUUGGAGCCUAAAGACACUACAACUCCAGUGGCUACAACAAACAAGUUUCACUCCAUCAAAAGUGAUUAUUACCUCAACGUUUCAAACAGGAAAUUCUAGAGAUAAAAAAGCAUUUAGGCCUUUUUUUAUUAAACAUUUUGGUUUCUGUGUUGCAGGAAUGCUACGUAGGUGCAAGAAACCAGAGGCAACAAAAAAUAUCCUUCAGCUGUACUGUGGCUACUGUUCGCCGUCUAUUUUACCACAAAAUGAAAAAGGAUCCCACAUGGGUGGAAUAAGCAUUUUGUUCAGCUGGAAAGUUUCCACUGCCACCUGCAAAAGUAUCUGUCCUUAAGGCUGAGGUAGUAGAUUGAAUAGUUGUGGGGUUUGGGUCCUCCCUCUGAGAUAACUAUACAGUCUACUGUCUUUCCUAAGGAGACAGGUUAAUCUGCUAUGAUGCUGAAGCCUGUAUGCACACGGGAAGCUCCAUGGAUAAAGGAACUCAUGCACUGAGUGAAGUACAUUUAAGAGAUCAUCCAUCCCUCAGGAGGAGAUUUCAGGCACAACAAAGACUUUAUGUAUUUAGAAGAAACAAUGGUUUAUUCUAACAUGUAGUACAUUUGCUACAUAUUGAAUGAGAUCUUGUUUUUAAGGAUAAUUCAUUGGUGCCUGAAGUUGAGCCUAGCAAGGUGAGGUAGUAGGUUGUAUAGUUUGUGGGAUGGAGUAAAUCCUACUCAGGUGAUAACUAUACAGUCUAUUACCUUCCUUGAGAGGUACAAUGAGUGCUUGGAACAGAGAUCACUGAUACUGAAGAGCCAAGAAGUAAAGGAGCCACUCUGAUACCAUCUUGUGGCCAAAGACUAUCAUCACACUGGAAAUUAUCUACGUUUUGGGACUUCUACUGUGUGCAUCUGGGGCCAUCGUCAAUUAGGAGAAUUAGGAGAAAUAUCUUUGAACAACACUCUAUAAGUGUCUGAGAACUGAGGAGGCUAUAAUCUUGAUGAUCUCACUUGAUGUAGAUUUUAGCUGCUCAACAGUUAGUUUGUUGUAUUUUACAUUUCUGAUAGGCCAAACAUUUUCAGUAGGUGACAAGUCAGGGCUGCAGGCAGACCAGUUUAAAACCUGGACUCUUAGGUGCUAGGUCACGGCCAUCCAAUAUUGGUUUUUGGCCUUGUCCCUUGCAUAUAGAGACUUCUUCUGAUUCUCUGAAUCUUUUAAUGACAUUAUGAAAUGCAGAUUUUUCAGUUCAGUUUUUUCACAGAGUGAUGAACCCCUUCCCAGCCUAACUACAGAAAGAUUCACCCUCUCUGAGAUGGUCUUUUAAUACCCAAAUUGAUAAUAAUACUGUGAGACAUUCCAUCAGGUGAUUUUUUUUUAGCAUUUCUCAACUUUUGUUGCCUUGUCACAACUUUUUUUGUGAAAGUGUUACUGGCAUCAAAUUGUCAUACUUAUCAGUUGUUGAAAUGUUGUGCUAUUUGCACUUUAAUAUAAAGUUGUUUCUUUGUUACUGGGAUGUUUGUCAGAUAUAUUUGCCUGUCAGAUAAAUAAAGAAAAUCUAAACAAAA